rnacentral:lncRNA from 1 species
UAAAAAAAAUUAAGGUUUUAUUCCUUGUGAGUUAGUUGUCGCCAUCAUCGUCACUUCGUCGAGUUCCAAGCGCCGUCGACGGGAUCGAUCUGACCAGUUUUCCUUCCGUGUCGUGGUAAUUGGCGAUUCUCCACACCGACGAGUCAGGCGUACACCGAGUUGGAGGCCAUCUGGGAUUUCUGCUAUCACAUGGAGAUCAAAACCAUGAAGGUGCGGUCGGCUUCAUCCGUCUACAAAAGUUGCGGCGUUCUCGCUGUGUUGCUGUAUGUCCGUUGUUGUUGAUCAGAGCCGCUGUUCCUAGGUAGUAGAGGAAAAAUCCCACCUGCUGUUCACGUGGAUCGAAGCCAUCACAGGUUGUUGCCCAUUCGUGAGGUCAACCAAACACACUAUUUUUGCCACAGUUUGUGGCUUGCCACACUUAUGGCUGCUACUUAACGUUAGGCAUGGCAAUAUAUAUGUGGCUGGCAUCGAAAUAUACCCUAAAUUUGGUGAAGUUCCUUUUGCUACACGCACCCAAAGAAAGCUAUUAGGAGAUCUGUUUGUUAGCUAUUAUUGCUGAACGUACACAGUUCGUGUACCAUGCUGCAUGUUUUUGCUAGGGUUACACCUAAAUUUUUGUAGAUUAUUUUUUUCUAGUUAUUGCUAUUAUUUCUUUACCAUGUCUUCGAUGAAGUAUGAUAUUCCUCAACUGAAUCGUGACACAAGAUUCGCUCUAUGGCAAGUCA